GCCAGCUCUUGGGAUGUACAAGUUCUCCUCAGCUGCACAUUCCAAGGACUGUGUGUGUGACCCAGUGACUGCAUCCAGUCGCCCCUUUUAUAGCCUCCUCUGGGGCAGAAAUGCUGGCCAUGAAGCAAUUUCUCAUCAGAACUACCUUCCUUCUUUGACACACGAAGGGGAAGCUCCUCCUCCAGUCUCUAACAGAAACAUUAAACAGCAGAUUCACAUUUACCCGGAGCACAGAUGACCUUUGGCUCAGGUCGACCAAUCAGAAGAUCGUUGCCAAGCCGAUGUGAGAGGUACAACAGACACAAGGUAAGAGAGAAAGAAGUGAACCUAUUUAUGAACAAAAUCUGCAAGACUUGUUCCUAGAUUGUGGAGACAUGAGAAAGUGGAAGGAACCAAGACUGACUUUUCAGUUUCUAGCUUGAGCACAAGGCGAGAACUUUUGUAUAGUUUGGCUGAUGCUGAAUUACCUUAGAACAUGUUGCCUUUGAAGGACAGGGAGGGGACCAGAAAGCACUAUCCAGCAGGUGCUUGGAUAUUUAGGUCUGGGGACUGAAAAUAGAUCAAGAUAGAAAACACAGUUUGUGGAGUUGUCAAAAUAGGUGAAAUUAGAAGAACUGGAGUGGGGAGAGUAUAUAGAAUCAGAAGAAAAGAGAGCCAGGAAAAUAUCCUUGGGAAACAUUAGUAUUUAAAGGGGUGUAGAAGAAAGAGAACACUGUGGAAGAGACAGAGACUAAAGGAGCAGCCAGAGGAGUAAAGAGUUUUGAAGAGUGAGAGGUCAACUACAUUAAAUGCAGGGAGAAGGCUAAGAAAGUGAAAACUGAAAAUUAAACUUUAGCAUCACAAUGAGGCCAUUGAACCAGCAUUAAAGAUGGUUUCUGUUGAACGGCAUAGGUGGAAAUGACUGCAGUGGCUUAAGAAAUAAAAAGGAAGAAGAAUACA
rnacentral:lncRNA from 1 species